ACUCCUACGGGAGGCAGCAGUGGGGAAUAUUGCACAAUGGGGGAAACCCUGAUGCAGCCAUGCCGCGUGUGUGAAGAAGGCCUUCGGGUUGUAAAGCACUUUCAGUAGGGAGGAAGGUAGUGUAGUUAACACCUGCACUAUUUGACGUUACCCACAGAAGAAGCACCGGCUAACUCCGUGCCAGCAGCCGCGGUAAUACGGAGGGUGCAAGCGUUAAUCGGAAUUACUGGGCGUAAAGCGUGCGCAGGCGGUCUGUUAAGCGAGAUGUGAAAGCCCCGGGCUCAACCUGGGAACUGCAUUUCGAACUGGCAGACUAGAGUCUUGUAGAGGGGGUAGAAUUCCAGGUGUAGCGGUG
rnacentral:rRNA from 1 species